GACGAACGCUGGCGGCGUGCUUAACACAUGCAAGUCGAACGCUGAAGCCCAGCUUUUGUUGGGUGGACGAGUGGCGAACGGGUGAGUAACACGUGAGUAACCUGCCCCCUUCUUUGGGAUAACGCCCGGAAACGGGUGCUAAUACCGGAUAUGCACUGGUCUUCCCUUGGGGGGGUGGGGAAAGGGCGUCUGUGGUGGGGGCUGGUCCCGCGGCUCAUCUGCUUGUUGGUGGGGUGGCGGCCUACCGCGGCUUUGACGGGUAGGCGGCCUGGGGUGGUGGGGGGCGACAUUGGGCCUAGAAUACGGCGCAGAGUCCUACGGGGGACAACAGUGGGAAAUACUGCAGCAUGGUCGGAAGCCGGAGGGAGCAAGACCGCGUGCGGGAUGAUGGCCAUCGCGUUGUAAAACGGUUAAGCCGGUACAAUAGUGGUAGUGAGGGUAAUGGGUAAAGAAGCACCGGCUAACUACGUG
rnacentral:rRNA from 1 species